GGUGAUAUCGUCCAGAGGUUUAGGACAUUGCGUUAUGGUUACCAUUAUUACUAUUCCGCAAAGACGAGGGUUCGAAUCCCUCUAUCAUCA